UACGGAGGGGACUAGCGUUGUUCGGAAUUACUGGGCGUAAAGCGUGCGCAGGCGGUCCGCAAAGUCUGAUGUGAAAGCCCCGGGCUCAACCUGGGAACUGCAUUGGAAACUAACGGGCUCGAGUGUGGCAGAGGGGGGUGGAGUUCCACGUGUAGCAGUGAAAUGCGUAGAGAUGUGGAGGAACACCGAUGGCGAAGGCAGCCCCCUGGGCUAACACUGACGCUCAGGCACGAAAGCGUGGGGAGCAAACAGG
rnacentral:rRNA from 1 species